rnacentral:snRNA from 1 species
AGAUGAGAGGCUGCGACAUCUGUCACCCCAUUGAUCGCCAGGGUUAAUUCGGCUGAUCUGUCUGGCUGGGCGUGUGUCUCCUUCCUCCCUCACCACUCCAUGUGCGUCCCUCAUGAAGCUGUGCACUGGGUCGAAGAGGGUGACCUUCCCGGAUAGAGGAGAACCAUUCUUCUUGGUCAAGGGUAUGCAAAUAGCUAUGGUCCCCUGCCAGAGCCUCCAAGCAAACUCUCAAGCUACAAUGACAGAGGUAAGGAGUUGCUACAGAGACCAUACGCCAUAGGUAUGGACCACAAAACCUAAAAUAUUUACUGUCUGACCUUUUAC